UACAGAGGGGGCAAGCGUUGUUCGGAAUUACUGGGCGUAAAGGGCGCGUAGGCGGCCUCUUAAGUCGAACGUGAAAUCCCCGGGCUCAACCCGGGAACUGCGUCCGAUACUGGGAGGCUUGAAUCCGGGAGAGGGAUGUGGAAUUCCAGGUGUAGCGGUGAAAUGCGUAGAUAUCUGGAGGAACACCCGUGGCGAAGGCGGCACUCUGGGUCGGCCCUGACGCUGAGGCGCGAAAGCGUGGGGAGCGAACGGG
rnacentral:rRNA from 1 species